rnacentral:rRNA from 1 species
UACAGAGGUCUCAAGCGUUGUUCGGAUUCAUUGGGCGUAAAGGGUGUGUAGGUGGCGCCGUAAGUCGGGUGUGAAAUUUCGGAGCUUAACUCCGAAACUGCAUUCGAUACUGCGGUGCUUGAGGACUGGAGAGGAGACUGGAAUUCAUGGUGUAGCAGUGAAAUGCGUAGAGAUCAUGAGGAAGACCAGUGGCGAAGGCGGGUCUCGUGGACAGUUCCUGACACUGAGGCACGAAGGCCAGGGGAGCAAACGGG